UCACCCUGAAGACAAGAGGCUCCAGCAGAUCGUCCAGGACCAUGUUUUGCGGGGAGGGAAUCCCAAGGAUUAUUUUAAGUCAUGAUACAGGACAUCCUCUGUAAAAGGACUGUAGAACUAUACUCUUUGCACCAAAGUGUGGUUCAUCCAAGCGUUCCUUGAUGAAUCGGACGGCUUCCUCGUUGCUGAAAGCAUCCCACAGACCAUCCGACGCCAAGAUCAUGAACUCUGGCUGCAGUUUGUCCAGGUCAAAGGUUGUGGGUUGACUCUGUACGCAGUUGCUGGGAGUGGGGAAGAGAGAGGGACUGAAUUCAUCCCCAUCCACCGACCGCUGACAGC